GAUGAAGAACGUAGUGAAAUGCGAUACGUAAUGUGAAUUGCAAAUUCAGCGAAUCAUCGAGUCUUUGAACGCACAUUGCGCCCCCUGGUAUUCCGGGGGGCAUGCCUGUCCGAGCGUCAUUGCUGCCCUCAAGCACGGCUUGUGUGUUGGGCCCCGUCCUCCGAUCCCGGGGGACGGGCCCGAAAGGCAGCGGCGGCACCGCGUCCGGUCCUCGAGCGUAUGGGGCUUUGUCACCCGCUCUGUAGGCCCGGCCGGCGCUUGCCGAUCAACCCAAAUUUUUAUCCAGGUUGACCUCGGAUCAGGUAGGGAUACCCGCUGAACUUAAGCAUAUCAAUAAGCGGAGGA
rnacentral:misc_RNA from 1 species